rnacentral:rRNA from 1 species
AAGUAGGUGGCAAGCGUUGUCCGGAUUUACUGGGUGUAAAGGGCGAGUAGGCGGGCCUGCAAGUCAGUAGUGAAAUACCACGGCUUAACCGUGGCACUGCUAUUGAAACUGCGGUUAUUGAGUAAUGGAGAGGCGGGCGUAAUUCCCUGUGUAGCGGUGGAAUGCGAAGAGAUCGGGAGCAACACCAGUGGCGAAGGCGGCCUGCUGGACAUCAACUGACGCUUAGGAGCGAAAGCGUUUGGAGGAAACAG